UCCCUGGUGGACUAGUGGCUAGCGUGCGGCGCUCUCACUGCCGCUGCCUGGGUUCGGUUCCCGGUCAGGGAA